AAAUAUUCAAAGCACUUGGCUUCAGACUAUGAAUUUACAGUAAAAUGUAGUCAUCACAAAGCCAUAUUUGUUCAUCAUUUACAGUUCCACAUCUGCAUACUACUCUCUAUUUAUUCUAUAGUUCCAAUUAUUGGAAAUCUUUUUCCAACACCAAGUGUAUCAGCAUUAAUUCCGUCUGCGUUGCUGAAUUUCUGCACCCAGGCAGAGUCUUACAGCAUGGACCACUAUAGCCGGUAAAUGUAGGAAGACGGUAAAUGUGCAAUUGACAAAGUCAAUAUCUCCAAAGCAAGCAUCGUACAGUAUCUCUUGGCUAUAUACCACAAGGUACCCCAUGAACAAUGACCGCAGAACGUAUGCCUGUCAUAGCAUUAUUCAAGUCAGUCAUAUUAUUCAUUCAUUCAUUAGACAGAGGCGAGUUCAAAACUAGAGUAAAGUAAGUUCAAAAUUAUUGUAAUUUGUGAAAUUGUAUGCAAAAUUACUGUUUUAUGAACAAGGGAACUGUGUUAUAGGAUGCGUGUGAAUACAUUGUAUGCACACAACUUUCUUACCUUUAACGUCCACUGAGAAAUGCCAAAUGACAGAUGCAUUAGACUACAAGUGUGAAUCAGGCCAGUGAUGUAGAUUUGUCUCCUUUCCCUUUCUUCCAUGGCUGCAAGCAAGAAACUUCCAAAGACAAUUGCUGCACCUUGCAAAAAUCUAACGACAGCGCUGGAGAGAGAGAUUUCUGAAGUUAGAUAUUGUUCAAAUUAUCAGAUAUUCUCAAAUAACAAGGUUCUAAUGCAGUCUGAUGGCCAUAUUGCUCAACUUCUCUCAUUCAUAAGCCAAUAUAGUUCAAAACUGUUUCCGGUUUCUAAAGAAUAUAAUUCCGAGUCACAAUUUGGUAGCUGUAAUUCCAUUCCAAUCCCCUAAUUCUAUGAAUCUUAGUUACAACUUACAAGUCAUCAAUUUAGCUAAAUGCUAAUAUCAGACCAACAUUCUAAAACUCAAUGCUAGUCAUAAUUCUCAAAUUUUCUCAUUCAUAAGCUAUGCAUUAUGCAAAUUCUCCAAUAUGAAGCCUAACAGAUCAUGAACAAGAGUCAUUACUGCAAAAAAAUUCAAAUACUACAGGGUUGUUCAGACUCCAAACCUACGUAAUCCUAGUAACCACUUUUAGCUAACUGCACGCAAUAAUACAGAACACAACAUAGAAUGAUUAUCAAAGAUAAAGUGAUCACAAGUAUAUAUACCAAUCAACGACAAGGUAAUAUGAUAUGACAAGAAAGCAGUAAAAACAACCAUAUCUGAACAAUGUUUAGCAUCUUUCAAGUCUUACCUUUGAUCGAUUUCGAAGAAGUACUUGGUAAAAGGGCCAACAGAAGCACCGACGCAAAAUGCAGUAUACAUCAAGAGCACAACCCUCUUCCGCUGCAUAGACAGAAGAUUUACGAUAUAAGAAGCGACUUGAAGAAUAAUUAAACAACUUUGGAAGAAAAUCUGUGAGUCAUUGAUCAUGUACCACUCUCCAUGGUGGUGUAUGGUAAAGCCAGAGUAAACUUGCUUCAGAAGAAAGGACUGUGAACAGCCCCCCUGCUUCCCCGAUCAAGUGCAAGAGGGAUCCACAAGCAGCAGCCGACAUGGCACAGAGGAGAGUAAGAUAAACCUAUAGUUUCAGCAAAAACCAAUCAAUACUUAUAUGAAAAUUUCCAUGCAAACUUCACACUUUCAAGAAUUAAUUAAGUUCAUUAAACUGUUCAAAAUUUUAACUAUAACUUUGAUGUUUUCUUCCAUUAUCAUAAUAUAUACUAAGUGAAUUUAACAUCUUAAUUUCCCGUCCCCUCGAAUACUCUCAUAUAAACCAAGUCAAAAACAACUUUCAAGACCGAAUAGGGAAAACUCGAUUCGAAAUGCUAAUUCUUCAAAAUCUUCUUUGAAUCUAAAUUCAUUCUCGGAAAACAGAAUGUUGCCUUUUUUCUUUCUGAACUACAAGAAACUGUAAAAAAAAAAACACCGACUUCGAUCAUCAACAAUAUUUGGAGAACCGAAAUUCAUCUUCUGAUCAGCUAUACAGAAAAAUCUCGAUUGCAAUUUCUUAAAUUACAACAUUUGUGAUCAAAUAGAAGGAAAAUAGGAAAAAAAGUGGAAAUUUACCUUUUGCAAGCUUGUGCGAGCGUGCUGGGGAAUUGGUGCAGAACUCAUCAAGUCUUUUCUUGUCCAAUUCCUAUUGAAGUACAAUUUCACAGCAUUCACUAAGAAAUUCAUUUUUUCUUUUCUUUUCGUUUUGCAGAGAAAUUGGAAAUGAUGAAGAAGAAUGAGGAGCGUCAGUUCUAUUUAUAGUUUUGCAGAGAAGAGUUAGUUACCAACGGAAUGCCCUUUUUGGGAUAUUUACGGUUUUACCUUUCAGUUAUGAGUAUAAGGCAGGGAUACUUUCGUCAAAUAAGAAAUAAAAGAAGAAUCUCCAUCUACCGACUCAGGUUGUUGGCGGGAAGGGGGAGUUAGAAUUAUGGAAUCGGAGGGUAUCAAAUAAGGCUUAAGUCAUCCGUAGCCAUUUAAAGUUGUCCUUGAACACCUUUAUUAGUAAAAAAAAAAUAUCUAUUGAACAUUGUUUGACAAUCAACUAAAAAUAGAAAUUGUGGGAUCCGGCUCCCCUCCAUUACCCCUUCCCUCCAUUUCGUUAAGUGCACAUCUAGCUUAAAGACAUGUGUCAUAUUUAAAGUUUAAAGGUCAAAAUUAUAUCAUAUUAACAAAUAUCAUAACCAUAGUUAAGUCAACUAAUUUUAGAAAACUACUCUCCAAAUUUGGUAAGAAUUACAAUAUAUUCUAAAUAAAAUUUGAUAUUUAUUAAUAUCAUUAAUUUCAUAUUAUGCUUUUGUAUUUAAUUAUUAAAUUGUAUGAUAUUUUAGGUGAGAAUCAUCGAAACAAUUUAUGUACUACUAAACUUUGCUCUUGAAAUAUUAUAUAUACUAUGUUGAGGAACAAAACAAAAAAGUUAAGAAUUAUCAGUGUGGAAAAAAAACCAUAAAAUAAAAGACACGAAAUAAAAAAUAAAAAAAGAUGAAAGGUUUUUAGAAUUAAACGUGAAUACCAAAAAUAUUCCAAGGAGAAAAUGUGGAUAUUGUGUUUGAAGGGGAAAAAUAUAUGUUUUUUUUUUAAUAAUUUUUUUUUUUUUUUUUUUUUUUUUUUUUAAAAAAANNNNNNNNNNNNNNNNNUUUUUUUUUUGUGAAAUAGAAGAUAACAUUGUUUUAAAUGCAAAUGUUUUGAAGAUUAUUAUUUAUCACAUUAAAUAUAAACGUUUCGUGUUCUACAAUUUUAAUAUUUAUGUAUAUUAAAAAUAUAAGAUGAAAUUAAUGAUAUUAAUAAAUAUCAAAUUUUGUAUGGAAUAUAUUGUAUUUUAUUAAAUUUGGAGAGUAAUUUUCUAAAAUUAGUUAACUUAACUAUGGAUAUGAUAUUUGUUAAUAUAAUAUAAUCUUGAUCUUUAAACUUUAAAUAUGACACAUGUCUCUAAUCUUGACGUUCAUCCUUGCCCAUUUUCUUCUUUGUUAGUACACACAGCCGCCUCCGGUUGAAACCACCCACACUUUGAAAUCGUCCUCACCCCGAUAACCACAUACCUACCCCUCCUUUAACGAUUUCAAAGAAAAUAAUUUCAGAUUCGCAUUAGUCUUGUCGGAAAAAAUGGAGUUUCGCCGGAAUUGUUUUUGACUCAAUUUGAUUUUAUUUUUGAUGAAAUUCUUGUCUACAACUCAAAUGAAAAUCUUUAUCAGUAAAUUCUUUUGUUUUUUUUUGUGUUUUGACUAGUUAUUAGUAUUUAACUGAUACUUUUCCGAUGAAGAAAACAACGAUGACUAUAUCGAUGAUGGUGGCAUGACGCUAGAAAGUAGGGGUGUACAAAACCGAACCAAACCGCAAACCGAGUCAAACCGGAAAAAAAAAACCGACUAGUGAUUGGUUUGACUUGGUUUGGUGUUGGAAAAAAAACCCGACUAUAUUUGGGUUGGUUUAGUUUUAACUAAAAAAACCAACCCGACAUUAUAUAUAUAAUUUUAAAAUUUUAUUGUAUACAUAAAAAUAUUUACUUUUGAUAUAAUUUUUAAAUAUUUCUUAUACUUUUUCAUAGUUUUUAUCUUUUAAUAUAUUAUUUCAAGUUUGAAACUUAGAAUUUUGAAUGGUUCCAUAAAGAUUAUAGUUCAUAGAUGUUGGUAAUUAUAAUAAAACUUAAAUCAAAAUCAAAUUAAUACUAAUGACAAAAAGAAAAUCAAUUUAACACUAAGAAUGACAAUAAUAUUGAAUAUUUGUUCUUUGGUUUUACAUUGGUUUAGACAAUUAAAGUACAUAAUCUAAUUUUAAUUUUCUUUAAUAUUUAGUCAUGUAACUAAUACUUAAUUAAACUUUAUUUAGCAUGUAUUUAGUUAACUUUUAAAUUAUGAUCAUUUUCUUUAUGACUUGUUAAUUUGCAAUAUUUGUUUUACGCGAUUUCAUUAUUAUUAUUAUUUUUAUUUUUGGAUAUUUUGGUGUCAUUAAUCAUAUCAUUAUUUGUGUUGUAUUCUUAAGAAACACCUUAGCUAAUUGUAUUUUGGUAGAACUGAAGAAAUAUUUGAAGUACAAGUAAAUUAUAUGUUUGUAUGAAUACUUUAGCGGAAAACCCGAAAAUCCGAAAAACCCAAAAAACCCGAGGUUGAAAAACCCGAGUUUUAUGGUUUGGUUUGAUUUAUAGAUUUAAAAAUCCGACACAAAUGGUUUGGUUUGAUAUUUGAAAAACCCGAACCAACCCGAUCAUGUACACCCCUACUAGAAAGAAUGAAGGAUUAGAUGAGAAAGAGAUGUAUCGAGGGAUGGUGGCAAAGAAAUUUGCCUUGAUGAGAAUAUUGGAUUGAGUAGUCCAGGGAAGACAAUUGGGGAAGAUGAUGCUAGGGAUUUUUUAAUUUUGUUUAUAUGUUCAAAUUAUAAUUUUUUCUAAUGUUGAUAUGUCCAUUUUUUAUUGGUCCGAAAAAAAAAGUUUAUGGCUUCACGUGCUUCCUUAGAUGUGUAAUACAUUCAUGAUGCCAUGUCACCAAAAAGUAUUUAAUAGGUACAUGUUUUGAACGGUAAAGGUGCUCAAUAGGUACAAUCCCUAGUUAAGGUGUCUAAGUGAAUUAUGCAAAUAACUUUAAGGGGCCACAAAUGACUUAAGCCUUUGUUUUUAGUCUAAAUUAAAGGACAUAUUUAUGUAUUAUGUCUUUUUUCUAUUCUCAAAGGCUCAAACCCGAAACUACAUCCUUAUUGUCAAGCCAUACUUUUCUUAUUUUUAUAUAUAAUUCUUAUCAAAUUACCUCAUCUAUUUUUUUACCUUUCUAAACCCGAUUCUAAUGAAAAGAAAAAAAUAAUCUCAAUUCCUCUUCUUCCAAUUAUAAAAUGGGUUUGGAUCAGGUUUGAAUCAAAGAGUGUUUGUUUUUUUUUAGUUGGGCCGGGUUGAGAGGGUAAAAAUGUGUGAGGUUAAUUAUUUUAAGAAUUUUAAAAGUCAACUUUAGAAUUAAUUUUUUAAUUCAGUUUGUUAAAGAAAAUGGUAAUAUACAUUAUUUGUUAGACGAGGAGGGUAUAUAUGCACUAUUUGUUAAAUGACGUAUGCAUACAUACAUCACUUUUUUUUUAUAGAGAACUAAAGCAUUAUUGAUAAUGUUGGUUUAUUAUAGAGUACAGAUUAUCGUGAUGACAUUUACACUCCAACUCGGUAAAUGGAUCAAUUUCAAUCGGAGAGUACGAAAGUAUCAUUAAUAAUGUUAGUUUUAGUAAAAUAUACCUCUAAUUAAACUUUUUUUAAAGAAUGUGUCAUGUUGAGCCAAGUAUGGCUAACCAAAAGUGUAAAAUAAAACUUGAAACUGUAACAGAUCAAUAUGCUCAAUUUUGAAUUUAAGUAAUGAAAAAAGGAAGAACAAUGAUGUGUAAGGUAAUCAACAAUUAGUAUUAGUAUUCAAGAAUUUUCUUAAUCACAGAGUAUAUCUGUGGGGUAAAGGUAAACAACAAUCAGUAUUUGCCUGAAAUAUUCAGUAAAAUGUAGCCACAAAGGAACACUUUUUCAUCAUUUACAGUUCCCCAUCUGCAUUCUGCUUUCUAUUUAUUCUGUGGCGAACUUUCAAUACAAUUCUAUGUGUGGGGCGUCGCUGAGUUUUUACACGCAGGCAUAGUCUUGUGGCAUGGAUCACUACAGCUGGUAAAUGGAAGAAGAUGGUGAGUGUGCGAUUGACAGCAUUAAUAUUUCCAAAGCGAGCAUCGUACAGUAUCUCUUGGCUAUAUAGCACAAAGUACCCAAUGAACAAUGUCUGCAUAGUGGCUACCAAUCACAAGCAAUAUUCAUCAAGUCAGUCAUUAGUUAUAGGAUGAGUUUGAUCGCAGUGCUUACAUACAACUGCUUACCUUUAACAUCAAAUGAGCUGUGUGGCUGUCAAUAAAGCUAGAGAACAAAUCAUUGACAAUAAUGCUAGAGAACAUUAGAAAACAAGCAAGGGUCAGGCACCCGAGGUAGAUUAUGCUCCUUUCCCCUGUCUUCAUGGCUAGAUACAAGAAACCUCCAAUGCUGAUUGCUGCACCUACAAAAAAGCCAAGGCUAGAGAGAAAGAAUGGAAUGCUUUCUGAAGUUAGAUAUUGGUUCAAAAGAUCAGAAUAUUCUUCAAAUACAACAACUACACAUACUGAAGGAGCAAAGUAACAUGUUUCUUAAUUUCACUAAUUCAUGAGCCAUACUAGUUCAAAAUUUGGAACUCUAUUUGCCAUAACAGACCAACAUUCUAACACCCAAAGCUAGUCAUAUUGCUCAAUGAAAACCUAUGUGGUCCGAGUAGCCACUUUUAGCUAACUGCAUGCAAGAAGUCGUUCAGAUUUCACACAGACAACUUGUAUGCUCUCACAAUUCCUUAUUACAGAAUUUCCAUAGAGAAAGUAGUCAUUCUAAUGAAGAUGGAAAACAAUAGUUUCUACAAGGCAACGGUACCAAUUUUUCCAGUUAAGAUUUUAAGUAAUCUAAUGAUUCAUAAGGAUAAAGUGAUCACAAGUAAAUACCAAUCAACAACAAUCCUUUCUCUGUACACAAUUGAAUUAAUACUACACAAGUCAGUUAAUAUGAUAUGACAAGAAAGCAGUAAAAGCAACCAUAUAAAACUUCAACAGCAGAUAUCUGAACAAUGUUUAACAUCUUUUGAGUCGUACAUUUGAUCGGUUGUGAAGAAAUAUUUGGUAAAAGGGACAACAGAAGCACCGAAGAAAAAGGCAGAAAUCAUCAAUAGUGAGACCCUCUUCAUCUGCAUAGACAGAAGAUUUAUGUCACAAGAAGCGACUUGAAGAAUAAUUCAACAACUUGGAAUAAAAUCUACGAGUCAUUGAUCACAUACCACUCUCUGUGGGGAUGUAAAGUGAAGCCUGAGUACACUUGCUACAGUUAAAAAGACUGGUAACAGUCCCCCCAAUUCCCAGAACAAGUGCAAGAAGGAUCCAUAACUAGAGCACAUCAUGGCCCAAUAGAGAGUCAAAUACACCUAUAUAAUCAUCAAAAAAGAUCGAAAUGCCAUUUUUUUUCCAGCUAAUUAGGUUUUUCAAAGAAAGAAGAAGACCAAACACAAGAAGCUGAAAUCUGAAACAAAUUCAAUUGCUUUCAAGAAAUUUAAAAUAUUAAAAAACAACUUCCAAGACUAAAUAGGGAGCAAGGCUUCAAUAACAAACGUGAUUCAAAUUAUCAGUAACGGCAUAAGCAAGUGCAAUAGAACAGCAAAUACUACGGCAAUACUUUUCAAUCAAGUAGAAUGGUCAUCGGCAAUAAUCUUCUGAGAACUGAAAUUCAUCAAUACUUAAGAAUUGGGGAUUUAGCACGAAUACUUAAAUUACAACAUUUUAAUCAGAACAUUAAUCUUUUCUUCAGAAUUCAUCAUGUGUAGUCUUCUCCAGUUCCUUCUGAAGUAAGCUCUCACAGUAUUCAUUGCCUCGAUUACAAUUGCAACAUUUGUGAUCAAAUAUAGAAAAAAAGUGGAAAUUUACCCUGUUCAAGCUUGUACGAUCGUUCUGAGGAAUUGGUGCUAAACUCAUCAUGUCUUUUCUUGACCAACUCCUAUCGAAGUACGCUUUCACAGCAUUCACUAAGAAAUCCAUUUUUUUCUUUCGUUUUGUCAGUAGAAAUUGGAAGUGAUGAGAAGAAUGAGGAGCGUGAGUUCUAUUUAUAGUUUUGCAGAGAAGAGUUAGUUACCAACGGAAUGGCCUUUUUGGGACAUGGGCUAUAUGACAGGGUAAUUUCGUCUCCAGACUCAAGUUAUUGGCGGGAAGGUUUUCCAUUUACUCAUUUGAUUUGAUAUUUGUCUAAUACUAUAAUUUUUGGCUCAUCUCCAUUAUACUUUCUUUCCAUUUCCUCUAUAGGAGUGAUAUUUGUCUAAUAUAAUUUUUACUUUAGAUUAAUUCUCUUCCUUUUAAUUUACUUUAGCAAAAUGAAGAAUAUAGAGAAAAGGCCCAAAAUAGUCCCUUAUCUUUGAGUUAAGACUCAAAGUCAUUUUUGAGUUUUCACAUGGAGCAUUAAUAGUCAUUCAUGUUUGCAAUAUUGGUGUACUUUUGGUCCUCCUUCAAAAUUUUGCCUAUUUUUUAACAUUGAUUUUAUUCAUAAUUUAUGUACAGAAUGUUUAAUCGUCAUUUUAUAUAUUUAGUAGAAAUAAUAACUCUAUGUGAGAAGGAAAACACUUUAUUUUGUUUAGUAGAAAUCGAAUUGCAGGUGAAGUCGAGAGGUUCAUCACGACGAUUUCAUGUAUAAUAGUACAAUUUUUUCUUUUCUUGCAAUGUCAUAUGUUAAAAUGUUCUUAGUUUAGCUGCAGUAAUUUUUAUACUGAACAGAACAAAGUGUUCUUCUUCUCACCUUCUCUCACAUAGAGUUAUUAUUUCUACUAAAUAUAUAAAAAAAACGAUGGGACAUUCCUUACAUAAAAUUAUGAACAAAAUUAAUGUUAAAAAAUAGGCAACUUAUUAGAAGCCUAUUUGACUAGACAGGCUAUGGAUCCCACUAAUAGAAUGGGACUAUAACCAACCUUCCAUGGUCUAGGUUCAAGGACAAUACAGAUUGUGGGCUCUUGUUCCCUGUAGGUUUAUAGCACGCUAGGCUAGCUAAGAAAGGUAAAGUUUAGGGGAGGACCAAAAGUGCACCAAUAUUGCAAACAUGAAGGACUAUUAAUGCUCCAUGUAAAAACUCAAUGAUGACUUUGAGUCUUAACCCAAAGAUGAAGGACUAUUUUGGGCCUUCUCUCUCCUCUUUUGAUUGAUAUAUUUUUUUGUUAUUAAGUUGGUGUAGGGAUGUGGCAGCCGCUAUUUCUUAAUAUUGAGGGGUCGUUUGGUAGGUCGCAUUAGAAGAAAUAGUUCAUGUAUUAUCUAUGAUAUUAUUUAGUACAAUUGGUAGGAAUUUGAUAUUAUAGCUUCCAUUUGGAGGUAUAGUAAUACAUAGAAUAUAACACCAUGAGAUAAGUCUAUGUAAAGAUAAAAAUAUCUCACUAAUCAUUUUAAUUAUUUUUUUGAUUUUAUGUUUUAUAUUUUAUAUUUGUACUAAUAAAUUUAUCUAAAUAAAUUAGCUUACAAAUUAUUUAGAGAGAGUUGUUUGUUACUAAAUAAAGUCCAAUACAAAUCAAUACAUAUUUGAAAUGUGAGUUAUUUAACAUUUAUUGAUUAAAAAGGCAAAUAUAUCACUACAUGACAUUUGCGAUCUUAAUUGAAUAUAUAUAUAUAUGGUUUUCUAAUUAUUUGUAUUUUGAACAAUUUUAAAAACUACAUACAUAUUAAAACUAUAACUUGUAAUUUUUAUGUGUAAAUGUAGAUGGUUUAUUCAAUUUUACCAUUAUUGACCGUCUUUUUUAUUUUAAAAGUAGAUAGUUUAUCUUUUUAAAAUUGAAAAUUGACAUUUUGUGAGUGAUCAAUUUAUUAAGAUGACAAUUAUUUAUCCUCAAAUAAUUCAAGUGAAAAAAUAGCAAACAUGACAACAAAAUUGUUCUUCUCAUAGCUAGUUAGAAGGCAAUAAAAAAAUAAUAUUGUCCGGCUAUUAUCUGUCUUCACUCAAUUACAUAAUAAUUCAAGGGUAUAAUUGGAAAGGAAUGUUUUUAAAGAGUUUUAAUCCAAACACAAGACGGGAAUGGGAAACAAUGAAUCAAACACUUGAUAAAAAUAAAUUCUGCAUUACUAAUUCCUGCACUACUAAUUUUUAUAUUACUAAUCACCGCGUUAUUAAAUUUUGCACAAGCGACCCUGAGUGAUAUAUUUAUAUUUUAGGCAAAGGGGUAUUCAGCAUCUAUAAGAAAAAAUUAAUCAUGUAAAAGUAGUGUUAUACAUGUAUAAAAAAAAUUAAUUAUGUAAAAAAAAAAUGAUUAUAGUUUCAACUUAAUUAGAAAUCUGUAAUUAUAGUUUGCUUAAUUACGAUUCAUUGACAUAUAUCAGAAGAAAGAGAGAGGAGUGAGCUAUUGCCAUAUUGCUCAACUUCUCUCGACUCUCACCCAUAAGCCGAUACAGUUCGAAACUCUUUCUGGUUUCUAAAGAAGCACAAAACAAUAACUUAUAACCUAAUAUCAGACCAACAUUCUAACACUCAAUGCUAGUCAUAUUGCUCAAUUUUCUCAUACAUAAGCUACAUUAUGCCAAUUCUCCCAUAUGAAGGCUAAUCCAGAAUGACUAUGUUUAUGUCAAUUACUGAAGGCAAUUUUAGCUAACUGCACACAAGAAUAAUACAUAACACAACAAAGAAUGACUAUGUUUUAGCAAGAAAAGCUUAACGGAAUCUAGCUAAAAUUUUGUGCAAAAAUGAGGAAUGCUAAGAGGGUGGAACCUCACUAUAUGGAACAAUUGUUUGCCAAGCAAUAUACAAAGCACUUUUCAUCAGACUAACGAAUUUCAAAUUCAAUCAGUAAAAUGUAGCCACAAAGGAAUACUUUUCAUCAUUUACAGUUCCCCAUUUGCUAUCAACUCUCUAUUUAUUCUAUAGUUCCAAGUGUAUCAGCAUUAAUUCUCUCUGUGUUGCUCAUUUUCUGCAGUCAGGCAAACUCUUGCAGCAUGGACCACUAUACCCGGUAAAUGGAAGAAGACGGCGAGUGUGCGAUCCACAGAGUUAAUUUCUCCUAUGCCAGCAUUAUACAGUAAAUCUUGGCUAUAUAUCACUAAGUACCCCAUGAACAAUGCUUGCACAGUGUUUACCUACAACAAGCAGUAUUCAUCAGGCCAGUCAUAUUAUUCAUUCAUUAGACAGAAGUAAUGAUUUAUUGACGUGGGAACUGUGUUAUAAUAGGAUGAGUGUGAUCACAUCCAACUGCUUACCUUAAACACCCAAUGAACUGUGUGGGUGUGAAGGAUAUCUAUACCAUAAACAAAAAUGCUGGCACACAUUAGAGCAUAAGAAAAAUUCAGGCAAGUCAUGUAGAUUUCUCUCCUUUCCCUCGUAUACGUGGAUCCAUACCAGAUAAUUCCAAUGCUAAAUGCUGAACCUUCCAAAACGUUGACAAUAAGGCUGGAGAGCGAGCAAGGAAUGCUUUCCGAAGUUAGAUAUUUUUCAAAUUAUCAGAAUAUUCUUCAAUAAAGAAGACAGAACAACCAGAGAUAAUCAACUACUCAUGCAGAAGGAUCAAAGUAACUGCUAUUGAAUUUAUAAUGUAGGAAAUGAAAGAACAAGCAAAUGUCUUUUGUCAUAUUAGAAAAGACUUCAGGAAUCAGUGGUAAAUUAUUUAAGUUCACUCUUCAUGAGCCAUAUCAAACUUUAACAGAAGAUAUCUGAACAAUGUAUAGCAUCUUUUAAGUCUUACGGUGGAUAAAUUUCGAAGAGAUAUUUGGUAACAAGGCAAAAAGAAGCACCCAAGGUACAGGCUGCAUACAGCAAUAGUGAGAUCCUCAGCCUCUGCAUAGACAGAAGAUUUACUAUAUAAGAAGCGACUUCAAUAACAAUUCAACAACUUGGAAGAAAAUCUACAAGACACAGAUCACGUACCACUCUCAAUGGUGAUGCAAAGUAAAGCCAGAGUAAACUUGCUACAGAAGAAAGGACUGUGAACAGCCAUCCCACUUCCCAGAUGAUCAAGUGCAAGAAGGAUCCAAAAGUAAAGCUCAGCAUGGCACAGAAGAGAGUAAGAUACACCUAUAUUUUCAGCAAACUAAUCAAUCAAAGGAAAAAAGCAGAAUCCAAUACUUAGAAACAGAACCUAAAAUCCAAUACUUGCUAACCAGGUUUUGCAAAAAAAGAAAAAAUCAAAAACAAGACGCUGAAACCUGAAAUUGCAUGAAACAAAUUAAUCCGUCUGUCCAAAUUUGAAUGAAACAAAUUCAUUUUGGCAAUCGUUUCAUUUUAACUAUUCAAAAAAUAACUUUCAAGCCUGAAUAUGGAGCAAGGUUUCAAUACCAAUCUCUACUCCAGUAGUUUUAACAAUUAUCAGUAAGGCAUAAUUAAGUAAAAAAAUACGGUAAUACAUGUAAAAUAUUCAAAAAAAAUCGAAAUUCAUCAUGAGUCCUGAAGAAUUAAGUAAAGCAAGUACAAAAGAAGAGAAAAAAUUACGGUAAUACAUAUAAAAUAUUCAGAAAAUUCAAAAUUCAUCAUGAAUCAUGAAUAAUCAAGUAAAGCAAGUAGAAUGUUGCCUUAUUUCUCACUAGAACUACGAGAAACUGUAAAACAAAUCGAUUCCAAGUAGAUCUCCUGAUACAGCUAUCAGUAACGAGAUAACGAAAAUAGAAAAAUCUCCAUUCCUUAAUCGCUGGAUUACAAGUUUUUCAAAUAACAACAUUUAAAUCAGAACAAUAAUUCUUACAUUUGUGAUCAAAUAGAAAGAAAAAAUGAAACAGUAAGAACAAAUGUACCGUCGUCAAGCUUGUGUAAGCGUACUCGGAAAUUUCUCCAGUAUUCACCAGGUCUUCUCUUGUCCAAUUCCUGUUGAAGUAAGCUUUCACAGCAUUCAUCUCUGAGAACUUCAAGUUUUUUUGCUUCUGAGAUCGGAAAUUUGAUGAAGAAGAAUGAAGAACGUGAGCUGUGUUUAUAGUUCGUUAUAUACACAAGAGUUUGUUACGAAAAAUAGCCCCUCGCCGUUACUCUGUUUGGGAAUAUUUACGGCUCUACCAUCCAAUUAUUGGCUGAGUUUUGGGGAUAUUGCAGGGGUAAUUUCGUCAAAGAAGAAAAAGGAUACUCCAUCCUUUCAUAUCACUUUGACACAUCCCUUAAAAAAGUUUUAAUUAGAUAUAAUUGAUUUUGGAUCAGAUUCCUUUCCCUCCAUUUCCUCAUGUACACAUUUAAAUGAGUUAUCUAAUAUAUUUUUUAAAGGUCAAGAUUAGAUUAAUUUAACAAACAUCUUAAUUACGAUUAAAAUAUUGAAUUUGAAAACCACUUUUUAAUUAUAGAAUACAAAUCAAUCUCCUCAUUUAUUUUGAUACUCAUUAAUUUCAAUUUGUAAAUUUUAUAUUGAAAAAUCAGAUCAAAGUUCGUUAAUAUGUUCAAAAAAGUUUAACUAAAUUUCAUAGUAUCAAAUUAAUAAAUAUUUCUAUGACAUUACUUUUCGCAAUUGUUUCUUUUUUCUUCUUCUUUUUCUUCGUAUAUUCUUUGAGAGAAGGCCCAAAAUAGUCCCUCAUCUUUGGGUUAAGACUCAAAGUCAUUCUUGAGUUUUUACAUGGAGCACUUAUAGUUCCUCAUGUUUGCAAUAUUGGUGCACUUUUAGUCCUCCCUUACACUUUUGCCUAUUUGUUAACAUUAAUUUUGUUCAUAAUUUUAUGUAAGGAAUGUCCCAUCGUCUUUUUAUAUAUUUAGUAGAAAAAAUAACUCUAUGUGAGAGAAGGUGAGAAGAAAAACACCUUGUUCUGUUCAGUAUAAAUAUUACUGCAGCUAAACUAAGAACAUUUUAACAUAUGACAUUGCAAGAAAAGAAAAAAAUGUACUAUUAUACGUGAAAUCGACGUGAUGAACCUCUCGACUUCACCUGCAAUACGAUUUCUACUAAACAAAAUAAAGUGUUUUUCUUCUCACAAUCUCUCACAUGGAGUUAUUAUUUCUACUAAAUAUAUAAAAUGACGAUUAAACAUUCCAUACAUAUAUAUAUAUAUAUAUAUAUAAAUAUAAAUCUGAAUCUAAAACCGCUGCUGUGGCACCCUCCAAUGGCUAGCAUUUGCAAUUAUCUAUUUUCUCCUCUCUUUUUUUGAAUUAUUUCUUCUUCUUUUUUCUUUAAGUUUUUAUUGAAUAUUAAUUAAAGCAUAGUAUUUAAUUCUCUCAUUAUUAAAACACAAACAUAAAAGUUGUAGUAUUGUAUUAGUGUCGUAUUAGUAUCACUAUGCAUUGGUGUUGCACGUUUUUUGCAGAAAAAUUGAUCUCUUCUCCUUCCCCAUAAUUAACAUUUAUUAAUAGGUUAACAUAGUAAAUCUCCUUCUCCUACCCAAUAAAUAAUAUUUAUUAUAGGUAUUAAAUAUGGCACCUUUUCAAAUUCUGACAAUCAAUAAAAUGAUAGAAAUUUAGGAACAAAGCUCCAAAGCUUCCCCACCACUAUGCUAGAUGAAAUACUCAUGAUGCUAUAUUUCAUUACGUAAUAUUAAUUAUUAUUUUUAUUGGAUAAUUGUAUUGAAAAAUUUUCGUAUAUGAAUCGAAGAAAUAUGAUUUACUUAUUCUUGGUUAUACAUGGUUUUAGGUGAUCUUAUGAUCUCUUCUCAAGUUUUGCUUAUGCAUGUUUAUUAUUAUGAUUUCUAUUGUUGCACUGAUAAUUUCUAAUAUUUCAUCUUUUGUUUUAUAUCAUUUUCUCAUAAUAAUUAUAUAUCUUUUCUUUAAUUAUUUAGAAUCAUUUUUACUAUACGCAGGUUUGUUCAAUCAAUUACAGAAAGUGAAAAGAAAAAUGUGUCAACUGACUACAACAACUAUUCAAAGUAUAAAAGAGAUAUUAAACCAAGGUUCGUCACUGCAUGAAUGAGAUUUGGUAUAUUUUAAGAGGAGCAAAUGGACUGUUUAUCAAACUAUUUAUUAUGAGUAUCUCAAAUAUAUCUUUUUGAUUAUGCUUGUAAAUAUUAUUAUUUAAAUAUCUAGAAGGUUCAAUUUUACUUAAUAAACAUCGUGUAUGUGUUUCGUUUUUUUAUUGAUUUAUUUUCUUUUUUGUUCAUUAUUUUAUGCUUCAUUUUAUUUUAUUUUAAAUUUAUUGAUUUAUUUUCUUUUUUGUUCAUUAUUUUAUGUAAAAAUAAAUAAAUUCUUUGUGUGUUUUCGUAGGUGGUUACGAAAAUGAUAAAUUGUUCAUGAAUAAGAAAUUAAGAAUGCUAAAAGGAAAUUUUCUCGCCAUAUACACUUUAGUUGAUUAUUGCUUUCAUUGAUAUUAUUCUAACCAUUUAAAUAUCAGAAGGCAGUCUUAAUCUUAGUUUUAAAAAUAAUGCCAAUAAAAUUAUAUUUUCUUUUGGACAAACUUUAUUGGUUGAGAAUGAAAUCAAACUUAAUUUUGACAUAUUUAAAGUUUCAAAUUUUAGUUCCAACUUAAAAAAGAGUGAAUUGUGUUUUUCAAAUUAGAAUGAUCUCAUUUUAGUAUGUGUUUUGAAUUUGUAUUAUACAUGAGUAAUUUGAAUGUAAGUUAUUAUAAAUAGUUUAACAAAUCAAAAAACUUAAGUUGAAUAUAAUUAUCAUCACAAUUUUUUAAUUUAUCAAAAUAUAUGGGAGCUUGUAAUUUUAAAUCUAUAGCUAUAUAUAUUUAUAUAAAGUUGGACAUAAACAAGGUGAUAUUACAACUCUAUAAUCAACAACCAUAUUUUUUUUAUUUUUUUUUCAUUCUCCUAUUUUCUUAAUCUGUUUUUGUUAUUAAAAUCAAAAAAUAAUAAUCAAAGGUCACUAAUUAAAAUAUUUCUCCUCAAUAUGCGUUACUCAUUUUUUUUCAAUUACUCAUUGUUAAGUACCACUUAUUGUACUUAAGUCUCUUUAAUUUGUUAGUGCCUAUUAUUUUAAUUUAAAAGUCUAACUUUGACUAAAUAAUUUAUCAAUUAAUUAGGAGAAGACUGUUAUUAUAGAAGACAAGGAAAGAUAAAAAAAUGUUACUUUCGAAUAGGUGAUGAAAAUAUUAACGUAGAAAGAAGCAAAUUUUCUUUUUGAUUAUUUAAAAAAUAGAGCACAAUAUUUAACUAGCAACGAGAAUUAGAGAAACAAGAAAAUAAUUCAAUAAAAUAAAUAUUCAACAUAGGAAAGAUUGAAGGAAGUAACUAAACAAAAAGAGGAAGUAGGAUUAGGAGAUAAUAUCUCAAAUGGUCAGUCAACUAUGAGUAAUUUUCUCAGAAAGUCACUCAACUAUGAGUAGUUUUCUCAGAAAGUCACUCAACUUUAUUUUAUAACACAAAAGUCACUCAACUAUGUGUAGUUAUCUUAGAAAGUCACUCAACUAUUAGUAUUCUACAUAAAAUGUCACCCAACCAAUUUAAAGAAUUUUUUCAUUAAUUUUUGUUGACUUGAAAAUUUUAUUUUAAGCUAAAUUUUUAAGAAAUAAAAAGAUCUUCAUUAUAAUCUUUUUAUUGACGUGUCCCACUAAAAUUAAGUAAUAUAUAAUACAACAAAAUUUAUAACUAUAGUUAGUAAAACAAACUUACAUCUAAAGUACCAAUAUAAAUUAUAAAUACAAAAACACACAACUCAGUUACACAUUUUAUAUAAAAAAAAUUAGCUUAUAAUUGAGUAAUCAGUUAAUUAUAUAUGUCAACAUUUGAACAAUAGUUAGACAAUAACAAAGAUUCCAAUGUUUCUAAUUAUAUGAGAAAAAUUAGACUAGCAAAUUAUGUCGUCAUAUUUGAGUGAUUGCUUUAAAUAUUAUUUUAAAUGCAUAUAAAAUGAAGUGAUUUCGAUAAAUAUAUAUUUCUAUAUAAUUUUAGUGGGGUGCAUCAAUAAAAUGAUUAAAAUUGACAUUUUUUUUAUUUUAAAAAAAAUCAUAUAUAUAUAUAUAAAAGAGAAUCUUAGGCCCGCCUACGUGACGCCACCACAAACAAGAAUUCCCUUUUAAUUUAUUUAUUUACAAAACUAACCUUCCCCUUUCAUGAAAAGCUGUGACUUUAAUGAAAAGUAGUGACUUUUAUGAAAAAUUACGACUUUUCAUGGCCCGCCUACGUGGCGCCACCACAAACAAGAAUUCCCUUUUAAUUUAUUUAUUUACAAAACUAGUCUUCCCCUUUCAUGAAAAGUAGUGACUUUUAUGAAAAGUUUCGACUUUUCUGAAAAGUUGUAACUUGUAUGAAAAGUUGCAACUUUUAUGAAAAAAAUUGACUUUUAUGAAACAUUGUGACCUUUCCGAAGAGUUGUAACUUUCCAAUGAGUUGUGACCCUUUCGACAAGGCACAAUAAGAAUUUGUUCACACUAUCAUUUGUUGUCUAUCAAUAGAGGGACUUCCUGUCACUAUUAUUUGUAGGUUUUUUUCCCUUGCAAUUUCUUUUUGCAAGGGAAAUUGCAAAAAGAAAUCUGUGGUUCUUUAGUAAACAAAUCUUUUAUUUCUGCCACUAUUAUUUGUAGGUUUUUUUGCAAUAAGACAGUCAAAUACAUAUACAUUUAUUAAGCUUCUUAUGAAGUGUGUUCCAUUUCUCAAAGCUUUCUUCCUCCUAUUUUAUGAAGCUUAAUCUUUUACCUUAAGUCAUAGUGAUUCGUGUAUCCCUUGCAAUUUCUUUUUUGCUAUUUUUGUAACUUUUUUUUAACUCUGUUAAAAAUUUCAGUGAGGAUGAUUGAAAAUUUAUCUUCUCUUAUUGAAAAUUUAUUUUCUCUUUUGUCCCUUUUUACAGGUUUCUUCAUAUACUUUUUGGAAAAAUUGCUUGUGGAUUGUGUUAUAUUUGAUAGCAUACAAUGAUCAAUAUGUGAUUACUAAUAUGAAACCAAUGAUGAUGUUUGUUAAAAAAACCAAACAAAUUGCUCUCUUGCUUGCCACAAUUAGUAUAUUAUUUUGAUUAUUUUUCUUAGGUACAAACAUUUUUUAUGGAUUGAGGUAUACAUAUUAUCGUCUCUAUUGAAGAAAAUUACAAAAAAAAAUUCCAGCAGAUAAUGAAGAAAAAAUCAUAUACAAAGGCUCGAAAAAAAGCUCAUAAAAAAGCUUGGUUUAUUAUCAGUUCCUUCCAAGACUCUCCAAGUAAAAGUUUUUUCCCUAUUUCUUCACUUCUCAGUCCUGGCAAUAGUAAUGACUAUUCUGAGACAAUGAGGAAAAACAUUUAUGAUACUCACAAUUUUAUGGUCAUUUUAACAUAUACAUAAUACAACAUGCUAUAAUAAAAAAGAGAUUGAUGGAGGUUCAUAAGAAAGGAGUCGAACAUCCUCCAUUUAAAUUUAGUUAAUUAUGUUCUUGUAUGGACAUGAUGUUCCAUUUUACUUGGGAGUGUUUUUGUUUGAUGCUUUUUGGUAUCUUCUUUAAUGUCUGAUAUUGUUCUUUAUAACUUCUUGGAAUUUAGAAAAUUUCAUUACUUCUGACCAACUAUUUCCAUGGAGAUUUUCUUAGACUUCUUUCUUACACUAGAAAUCUCUCUAUGACUCAUAAUUUUUGUAUAACAAAAAUAAAAAAAUAAAAAAAUAUUGCACUUUAAGAUUUAAGAAGAAUGCUUUACCUUAAGAUAAAAUGUUCUUGACAAUGUAGUGUAUGUAUCGAAAAUACGAAUAUUAUCGAAUGACCAUAUGUAAGCUUAGUAAAAUAAUUCAAUCCUGUACGAAGCACGGGUAGUUUACCUAGUUUAGUAUAAAAUAAAAAUCUCAUGUCAACAAAAUUUAAUGAAAAAAUUAUUUAGAUUGGUAAAGUGAUUUUUCAAGAUAAAUAUUCAUGAUUGAGUGACUUUCUAAGAUAACUACACACAAGUGAGUGACUUUUGAAUUUAUAAAUAAUUUUUAUGACUAUGCGCGCGGAAAUGUUCAUUAGUUAUGAAUAAAAUCAAUGUUAAAAAAUAGACAAAAUUUUGAAGAAGGAUCAAAAGUGCACCAAUAUUACAAACAUGAGGAAAUAUUAAUACUUCAUGUGAAAAUUUAAGGAUGAUUUUGAAUCUUAACCAAAGAUGAGUGGGCCUUUUCUCGUCAAAAGAGUCUUUCAAUUUUAGACAUGCUUCACUGCCUGCUCAGCUCAAAACUCUGGCGGCCGGCAAUGUUUCCAUUUCUUGGUUUUCUUGAUUGGAUUCAUGGGGCUAUUCAGAACAUUCUACUCAAAUUCUUUCCACCAAAUCUCUCUUGAAAUGUAUGUGCGUUUCGAAAUCAUGGCAUCAACUUAUCUCUAGCCCUCAUUUUGUGAAAACCCAUCUCAAAUUAAACAGAAAUUAUCAUACAGUUCUAUUUUCAGACAUCAAUGGAAAAUUCAAGUUUUGUUCUAUCAAUUACCUCUUUAACAAACAACAACAAGUUACUCAGGAGCUAUUGCACAUGGAUCCUCCCACUUUGUUGGCUUUCGUUGUGGGUUCUGUGAAUGGGUUGAUUUGUCUGUGCAAUCGCGCUGGGCAGAUGUUUAUAUGGAACCCUACAAUUAGCAAGUCGAAGGAAUUGCUUAAUUCGAAAUGCGGUACCUCUAUCUAUAUCAAAUAUGGUUUUGGAUACGAUGAAUUACAUGAUGAUUAUAAAGCUAUAUUUGUUGAUUAUUCUUACCAUAAUGAUAAUGAUGAUGUGUCCAAAACGAGGAAUGUGGUCAAUGUUUAUAGUUUGAGGGCUGAUUCUUGGACAACAGUAGAUGACCAGCUUCACGGCAUCUAUCUAGUAAAUCGUUACGGUAAAUUUGUCAACGAAAUGCUGGGCUAUACAUGCUUGCUCCUCCCAUUUUUACAUUUUCUAUGCAUCUUCAACGGUCAGAAAUAGGUGACAUUUUACUUUCGCUUCCGGGAUAUAUCAUGAUAUUUGAUGGUUCAACCAAAAAAUUUGAGCACACUCCUGAUGUUAAGGGAUCCAAUCCUCCAGAAAUCUACGCAGAAAGUAUUGUUAAUCCCCUAAUGAUAUCUGGUAAAAUUCUGCUUAGUUUAGCUGGUAUGCUCGUUUUGCACUUCCUUUUCCGUCAAAUAUAGGACAAGACAUUGAAUAUAUAUUAAUCCAUACAUCAUAUUUGUUUGUAAUUCUUAUAAGCAUUUCUACUUUUUAUUUUACUAGUUUUUGGACACGUGCGUUGCACCUAGUAUCGUCAAUUAUUUGAAUGUUUUUAUUCUAAAGCAAUAAAUCUUUAACAAUAUACAUGUUUCAAAAGCAUUUGUUUGAAAUAAGUUGGUGUGGUCUACUACAUGUUCUAAGUUACUCAUAUGCUAAAAAACUAAAUCCAGUAUGCACCAGAUAUGCAGUAAUUCUAACAAAGUUUCCUAUUAUAUUCAUGUUAGUAUUUGGUUUAUAGAUGAUCGUGGUCUUGUAUUGAGUAUUUAAUCGACACAAUUUCUCAAAUUCUUCAGAUUUUUUAUGGCAAAGAAGACAAUGUUGGUUAAUGAGUAAAUAAUGGUGGACUCAUUUUUGGUCACAUCCUAUCUGUUGUUCACUAAUGAUACUACCAUAUGUUAAACAAUUUCAAUAACAGUUUACCUUAAAACUAUGUGUACGGGAUGUAUAAAUAUUCGCAACUUAGAGCUUGUUAGGAUUGACUAAUUUUAGGUGCUUUUAAGCACUUAUCUAGUGUUUGGGUAAGAUUGGUUUAUUCUCAACGAGGCAUAGAUGUAUGAGAAGAAACUGCCUGGUUUUUAAAAUAGAUUUGAACCAUAGUUUUGUUUUAACGACUAAAUUGUUAGUAAUUUGCAAUUUCCUCUCUCCUUCCAGAAGAAUGUGGUGUGAUGGAUCUAUCUUGAAGUAUGAAAAGUUCUGUUUUCAUUUUCUUUUCUGAUCUAGAAGAGUUUCUUUCUUUUAUACCUUUGAUGUAAAGGGAGAAUAGUCUUUUCUAUAGAUGGUUGGGCUAUUUGGUAUGAACAGUGUCGAGUUAGAGUUUCAAUAUAGUGCUUCUUAGAGUUUCAUCGAUAACAUCCUUUUACAUUGAGAAAUGAUGAUCUGCUUGCAUCUAUGUUGUUGUUUUUUGCUUAAACUAGAUGGCUAUUUUUGUCGUGCUAUACACUGCUUUUACAAAAAAAUUGAGACUUGUUUUGUACUAUUGAAUUUCAGGAAGUGGAAGCUAAUGUUGAACACUAAUCUGUAUUUGCUGCUGACUGCAUGGAUCAAAACUAUGAAGCAGAAUGAACAGGUCCAAAUGAAGCAAAAUGAUAUCACGGAUUCAUAUAACUGAUUACUUGUACACAGAGAAUGUUAGGAGGAAACCUUGUGGAUUGUUCCAUUGCUUUUCAAGGGUGAAAGAUUAUUAUUACCUGUUCCAGUAAACUAAACAAUUAGGCACUGGAAAUUUCUCACUUUCCGUAUGUUCAGCAACUGGGAACAAUCUAAUGAAGACGACUGAGAAUUACGAUGCUUCAUUCAAGUUGCUUGUAUUAUUUGUACAUGUUAGAGAAAACUUAUGUCAUCAAUCAGAAUCCUCCCCCUCUAAAGCUGCCAUUUUUUCUUUACUCCAACACUAAGAAGCUCUCUUUCACCCAUUGGGAUCUCUUUUCCCUUUCCAUGGUUAUUGACUAACUCGUCAUCACAUAAAUCAGCCUUCAAGUCACUAAAAUCAUCGUCAACAGAUGUAUUUUCAUGUGCAACUCGUCUUCAUUAGGUAAGCCGGUUAGCAUAAUUGGGAAAUUCAGAAAGGAGAAACCAACUAUGAGUCAAGAAAGCUAUUUAGCUAAAAUUAGGAAGGCUAGGAGGGUGGAACCAACCACCAUAGAGAACAAUUGUUUGCCAAGAAAUAUUAAAAGCACUUCUCUUCGGACUAACGAAGUUCAAAUUCAAUCAGUAUAAUAUGUAGUCACAAAGUAAUACUUUUUCAUUAUUUACAGUUCCCCAUUUGCUAUAGACUCUCUAUUUAUUCUAUACUUCCCAAGUGUAUCAGCAUUAGUUCCGUCUGUGUUGCUGAAUUUCUGCACCCAGGCAUAGUCUUACAGCAUGGACCACUAUAGCCGGUAAAUGUAGGAAGACGGUAAAUGUGCAAUUGACAAAGUCAAUAUCUCCAAAGCGAGCAUCGUACAGUAUCUCUUGGCUAUAUACCACAAGGUACCCCAUGAA
rnacentral:lncRNA from 1 species